rnacentral:misc_RNA from 1 species
GAUGAAGAACGCAGCGAAAUGCGAUAAGUAAUGUGAAUUGCAGAAUUCAGUGAAUCAUCGAAUCUUUGAACGCACCUUGCGCUCCUUGGUAUUCCGAGGAGCAUGCCUGUUUGAGUGUCAUUAAUAUAUCAACCUCUUCAGCUUAUGCUUGUUGAGUGUUGGAUGGUGGGGGUUUGCUGGUGUCUUAUGAAGUCAGCUCCUCUGAAAUGCAUUAGCGGAACAAUUUGUUGACCGUUCAUUGGUGUGAUAAAAAUAUCUACGCUAUUGACGUCAGUCAGUUCAGCUUCUAACAGUCCAUUGACUUGGACAAAUUUUUCAUUAAUGUGACCUCAAAUCAGGUAGGACUACCCGCUGAACUUAAGCAUAUCAAUAAGCGGAAGA